rnacentral:lncRNA from 1 species
UUAUGCUUCCUAUAUCAAGCGGGAGGCAAAUGGGCAAGGCCACUUCCAAGAAAGAUCCUUCUGUAAGGCUCUGACCUCCAAGACCAACCGCCGAUUUGUGAAGAAGUUUGUGAAGACACAGCUCUUCUCACUUUUCAUCCAGGAAGCCGAGAAGAGCAAGAAUCCUCCUGCAGGCUAUUUCCAACAGAAAAUACUUGAAUAUGAGGAACAGAAGAAACAGAAGAAACCAAGGGAAAAAACUGUGAAAUAAGAGCUGUGGUGAAUAAGAAUGACUAGAGCUACACACCAUUUCUGGACUUCAGCCCCUGCCAGUGUGGCAGGAUCAGCAAAACUGUCAGCUCCCAAAAUCCAUAUCCUCACUCUGAGUCUUGGUAUCCAGGUAUUGCUUCAAACUGGUGUCUGAGAUUUGGAUCCCUGGUAUUGAUUUCUCAGGACUUUGGAGGGCUCUGACACCAUGCUCACAGAACUGGGCUCAGAGCUCCAUUUUUUGCAGAGGUGACACAGGUAGGAAACAGUAGUACAUGUGUUGUAGACACUUGGUUAGAAGCUGCUGCAACUGCCCUCUCCCAUCAUUAUAACAUCUUCAACACAGAACACACUUUGUGGUCGAAAGGCUCAGCCUCUCUACAUGAAGUCUGUGGACAUGUAAGGACGAGAGUAAAGAGGAAAAUCUUAUUUUUA